CCGACAAAAACCCCAGAGUUGGCAGCGAGUUGCCCUAACUCUCGCGAUCCUAUCCGCCGACGACGAAAACUCCACCGCGAUCCUCCACCUCCGCGAUCCGCCUGCGAGUUAAACUCCACCACGAUCCCCACCUCUCCUCUCACGCAGAAGACGAAAACCUCGCCGCGCCCUAACUCCACCCUGGACCGGGAUUUCCGCGUGCACGCGGACACGCAGCUGCGCAGAAACGCCCCCAAAGGCAUAGGAACGCGCCCACAAGUUUCGACCUCCGACGCCCAGCCCUGCCCUCGACCAACAGCGGCCCACGCUCUAUCGCCUUUAGAACUGAUUUCAACUGUGGAUUCUAGCAAGUUUGAGUUUUCCUUUAAUUCAUUCCUAUUUAAAAGCGCUGCGAGUUCAACUUUAAAAGCACUGCGAGUUGUAAAGAAGAGAGUUGCUCCUGUUCUCAUAAUUGCAAGCCUAAGUUAUCGGAUUGCAACUGUAAAAGUGAUGCACAUACAGGUUACCCAAUGGAUUACUAUGCACAAGAUGGAGGGAAUUGGAAUAGCUCCUAUGUAAAGAAGAAGCCUCCUAGUAGUGGAAUAAAAUUGCAGAGAAGGAUAGGGAGACAGUCUGGAGUCAAAACAUGAAAUGCUUCGACCAUUAGACACUGUUUGCUAGUUCUUAGACAUGACAUGUGACAAACUACUUGUUACGAUUUAUAGUCACCAACUUGGAUUAGGAAUCAAACAGAUUAGAGAAGCUUUGAAGAUGCUGUUGGUGGUGGAAGAAUACAAAUUUUGAAGCUAAGCAUUACCAAGGCGUGAAAUUAUCUAUUCUUUUUUUUUUUCACCUAUUAAAUGGUGAAAUUUUUGUGAGGUUAAACUGUAUUCAUGUUGAUAUUUAUUUUCUUUUCCAACUACUAGCAAUCAAGGGGAUUUUGUUAGUUUCUGGAAGUCUUUAUAAUGUUCGAGAGGUCAAGAAAUA